UUUCUUUUCUUCAGACAAACUCAUCUUUAUUUGAGUUAGGAUUUGAACCAAAACCAAAUAAAAGGAAAAACUGAAACUUGAAAUUACAAAUUGGUCUCUCAUGUGCUAUUUACAACUCUUAGAGGUCUUACCAAACCAUUCCAAAAAGUUGAAGGGGUCAAACUAUAACUAGAAGAGUACUGUCUCCAUUUCAGAGAGACGAGAGUUGUGAAGUACGAAUUCUGAUUAUCGAACGGAGCCGCCGGCAAGAAUUGCUUUGGGCGAAUCAUCUUCAGGGAUAUCACAAUGGGAUACGUGCAGGAAGCCCGAAAAAAUCACGUCAAGAAGAAGGUCGAAGAAGGUAAAUUUGAUCUUAAACCCCUAACUAGUCAUGUACAUUAAUCAUAUAUCGUCAUUUGUGUAGCAUCAAGUGGCCGAUGAAUAUAACUGCACGCAUUAUUACUUUGUGGAAAUGAAUUCCAAUUUUAUACAAAAUU
rnacentral:lncRNA from 1 species